rnacentral:sRNA from 1 species
AGAUGUCUUUCUCAGUUGCUCUCUACCAUAUUUUUUGAGACAGGGCCUCUCAUUGAACCAGGAGGUCAUGGAUUCAGCCAGGCUAACUCCUGGGAUCCGAUCUGCUCGCCUCUUGCCUGAUCCUCCCACCCCUACCCCACAGGACUGGGAUUACAGGUACAAGCCUGUACCUAGCUGUUAGGUGGUACUCGGGAUCUGAACUGGGAUUUUCAUGCUUGCAAAGGUGAAUCUCUCCCCGCCCACUCAGAGGCUUCCAAGCUAAAGUUGAGGAACUGAUUUAAAGACAAACUCCCAGGUCCUUAACAUUUUAUCGUAAAGCUGGCUUUUAUGUCUUUCUGACAGGAAUGCUGGUGAGGAUGCACUUGUGGGGGUGGGACCACGGGACAGACCAGGGAUCUGCUCUGGGUCAGAUAGUGAGGUCAGUGGCAAGAGGGAAGUAGUGAGAAUCAACUCAAAGAGAUUCUUAGAUUCAGUGUUGUUCUGUCCUGGGGAGCACACAGGAGGAAGCAGGGAAGCGCUCCAUCUGGCUUAGGAUCUGUCCUCAGAUCCUGAGUACCACAUAACAGCUAGGUACAGCCUGGGGCUGCCAUGCCCAAGGCCCACAGAUGCCAGGCCACGAACACAGAGAAGACACACACAGUCUAUCAUUCCAAUUGGCUCAGCUCCCCCCUCUCCCCGUCAUCCCCUUCCCCCGGGAUGUGUGUGUGGUGAGAGAGGAGAUUGCAACAGAAAGUGACAGGGCUGAUUAAAGGCACAGCAAAUCAGGGCCACAAGGAAAGGUUAAAGGGAUGGCAGCUAUUUAGCCUGGAGAGGGGUGGUGCGGAACAGUUCCCGUCCAGUCUGUGCAGACUGGUUAGUAGAUGCAUGCAAGGCAGCCACCCCACUUAGCCACAGAUCUGGAGAUGACGGCACCCCCAAACUGGCCAAGCACUUCUGUGGGGUGGGGGCGAGGCUGCUCUGGAGACAGGCGGAGGAGGAGGCGUAAUUAUCAAGGCUCUUCUGUGGUCUCUGAAGGCCCCUCUCCAUUCCCCUUUGUUUUCUGCAUCUGUCAUUAUGUCGUGCAAACCACAGCCGGGCCUUUUGACAGCAUCGAUAUCUGCUUUCCUACACACACUUGGAAGGUAAUGUGGCUGUAAAUUGAACAAGUUAGAUAAAUGCCAGUACAAAGAAGAGAUUGUGUCUAGUUUUGUAGAGCCUUGUGACGGCCUCGUCCCCAACCGGCAUGAGUCUUCCUUUCCUCCACCACCUCCGGCCUUCUCUGGUCUAUCUGCUUCCUGAUUGACAGCCCAGGAGUCCUUAUUUGCUCUGCUUUUUCCUGAAUCUAUCACUCUUGACACUUUGCAAGGCCUUUUGCUUCAUUUCAAUUGCUUUUUGUUUCUUUGUUUUGGUUUUGUUUUUGUUUUUGUUGGAAACAUUUUCUCUUUCUGCUAGGUCAAGCUUUCUUACUCCUAUGGCCAGGCCAACAUAGCAUAUACAAAGGCCAGCCAGCCUCAGUUUCUCCUGGGACACACCCAGAGGCCUUUGGCCUGAGCCUCCUCAGAAUCCUGUAACUAGAGCCUACUCUGAUUCUCAACUGAGAACGGAAAGGAAUAUGGCUGUGGAAGGAAGCAGGGUCCCUACGAGCCAUUCUUCCACAGGCUUCUGUCCUAGCAUUGGGCUAUGAUCGGGUCGGGGGCUGGGACGUCCCGUGGUAAACUGUAUUUUGUUUUAGUCUUGCUAUUGAAGAAUUGAGAGUAUCAGCAAACUUCACCUGACAGGAGCAUGGUCUCUUGAGUUGACUCCAAAGGCCGCCUUCCCACCAAGACGUUCUUCAGGAAGCAAGAAAGGGCUCGGCAGCAUGCGGCUCAGGGAUGACACCCACCAGGACACAGUGCUCAAGAAGACAGGAACAUAGAACUGCCUGCAAUUCUGGAGCUUUUAUGAUCCCUUCUCUAAGAGGUUACACUUCUGGUGACGAGACAAGACUGGAAAUUCAUGGAGCUGCCACAGAGACAAUUUGUUCUCAACGUGAGUUAUCAGAUGGAAUGAGGGAGCCAAGGAAGAGGUUGUGCAGGUCUGGGCCUCUGAGACCUGGGCAUCCCUCAUUUUAAUGCACAUCCAGUGUCCCCAACUCUGGCUGCCCGCUGUUCUUGGCAGUGACCAGUUUGACAGGGACUAGAUGGCGUGGGCUGCAUUUGCCUUGGUGUGUUGCUACCUCUCUUGAUGGUGAUGCUAGGCUUCUUCUCCUUCUUCUUCUUCUUCCUCCUCCUCCUCUCUUCCUCUCGAUUCUGAUCUCUUCUGCUUCUUCCCCCCACAAGCACAGGGGGAGCACAGGGGUCCUUGAAUCUGCAGAGAGGCCUGUCCAUCUCUGUGCUCCAUUCCACUGGAAAACUCAGAACAAUUCCUAUUAUUUUCGGUUCCCAGACCUUGAAUGUGUCAGCCUUCAGGUUCACUUCCUACGCCUCUCUCCGGCGCCCGGAUCUGCAAGUAAUUUAACCUUGUUUUUAUAGAGCGCAAAGACGUCCCGCUUGUUUACACUGGAGACAAAUUUUCCUCAAUUGACAUAGUCCUAUUGAUGAAAUAAUGACUUUCUUCCUCAUUUAAAGGUAAUUUUGGCUGGUGUCAUGACACGCAGGAGAAAGUGAAAGGCCCCUGUGUCCCACUGCUGAAGGGCAGGCUCUUGCGGCUCCGAGCCUAGGCUUUCUCUCACCUGUUCUGAAGCAUCUCCGGCGGUCCAGGGAGGCUGCUGCCCAGACCAGAGGAGGUUGGCCAAACUAAACAGCCAGUUCUUGAUUAGGGAAAUCAGAAAGCAACCUUGACUGGGUAAUGAAUGCCAAGGUUGGGCAGGACAGAUGUACUUUGUAUCAACAAUGGCUUGAUUUACUGUCCAGAUUCUUAACAUCUAAUCAGCUAGGGCCUGCACUUCCACUUUUUUUAUUUAUUCAUUUUUUAAGGUCACAUCACAUGACAGCCAGGACAUGCUAUUUUGGUCAAGGAUUUAAAAUCAAAGGGAUGGAGUGGAGAGUCAGGGAGAAUGGCAGGGGACUGCCCAUAUAGAAGGAGCACACAGAAGAGGGGUGGGGGAAACCCUUAGCUUCCUCUGAGCCCAGUUGCUUGUGAGGAAGCAGGGAGGGCCAGACCUUCUAAGACUUUGUCCCUUCAGUUCUGUGAUGCAAGGAGCCAAGAGGCCUCUGUUCAUUCUUGCUUCCGUUCCGGGUCCUUGGGCUGUGUAUUUUGAUAACGAUAAGAACAGAGGACAUCUGGGUGGAUGCGCCCUCUCCCAUUACUUUUCAGUGAGGUCGGGACAAUACAUUCUGUGUUAGCAGCGCUGUUUGAGAACAAGAUAUCCUCAUAUGUUCUUGGGGUUGAGGGGGUUGGAAUGUAUAUUAUGCAAUAACUUUUAAAAUAGUUUAGUAGAAACUUGGGUUGUAGCUCAGGGCUAGGAGGCUUGUUUAGUGCGUGCAAGGUCUAGGUUUGAUCUAUAUCACUACAGAAACGUUUUAAGAAAAAAAGAUAAUUUGUAAAUACUCGUGGAUAUAGUUCUAAAUGCAAACCCAGAGUAGCAUAGAUACUGUGGUCUCACAGUACCUAAAUGUUACUGGCUGACAUAGUUCAGGUUGUUCAGUCUGUUGCAGACACUCAAGAAGCAUUCCGUUGUUUUCUCGUUUUCUCUUCUCCAGAGGUUGACAGGCGUUUUUUUGUUUGUUUGUUUGUUUGUUUGUUUUUGAAGAGCCAGAGAGUAAAUAUUUCAAGCUCUUCGGGGCUAGGGUACAGCCUCUGUUAGAGGAAACAUGGAAAUGUGUGUGGUUGUGUUCCCAUAAACUUUGUGGGCCUGGAAUUGGGAUUUCACAUUCUCCCUGUGAGUCACAAGGUCUUCUUCUCUUGAUUUUGCUGCUCACUUAGAAUAUAAAAAUCCAUUUUUUUCCCUCAUAGGUGGUGAGGUAGACUUGGCCGAUAGAUGGCGGGUCUGUUCUUUGGGAUAGUCCUUAGGGAAGAACUAUUAACAGACAAGGAAGUCAAGACUUAAAGUAGAUAAGAACUAGAAUACUGUCUUCUUUUGGAUUCAGGGUCUCUUGUAUCCAGGCUGGCUUCAGACUCGAUGUGCACCAGCAUGCACAGUUUACGAGCUAUGCUGGGGAUCGAGGCCAAAGCUUCGUGCACUCUACACAAGCAGCUUACCAACUGGACCACAUCGUUAGCCCAAGCAGAUGAUCUUUUCUACUAGCUUGAACUUUUCUGAGACAUCAAAUAGACUUGGGGAUUAGGUUCCCUAUUUUUAAUGGCCAUUACAGAGAGAUGCUUCAUGAUGAUUCAGAUUUAAAACAUACGAGGAAAGACCAAUCCUUGAAAGGGCUAUGAGAUCUCAGGCUGGCCUAGGAGUUAUGCAGGACAAUGGUGUUGAAGGGCAUUGGCUGGAAGUAAGAAAGGAGAAAAAAGAGAGAGAAACCUGUUCUGUGAGUGUUGGGUUGUAGAUGAGGCUAAGAUCUCUUGUUUGUUGGGAACAGGGGGAUGUCAUCUAGGUAGGAUGGAGUCCAGGCUGAGAGAGUAAGGGGAAGCCUGCCGUGACUACAGUCUCCUCCCACUCUGUGGUUAACGUUGAUACAUUUUGGAAAGUUCUCUACUGCUUCCUCUAACUCUUAAUGUUUCUAAGAUGAGCAGAUUUUUUUUCUCCAGAGCCAAACUGUCUCAUUCCAGGGCUGGUUGCAGGCCUGUCCUGUUCCCUGGCCAGACUGAGGGGAGACUCAAGAACACCCUCUGAGACAGGGCCUCAGUGAGUCCAAUCCUGUUAGGAGUGUUAGUGGGUGUUGGUGCUGAGGACCACAGAGGAAGGAGGGAGGGAGGCAUUAUAGCCCCUUCACCAGUGUAGUUAGCGUCUGAAGGGCAACUAAUAUGUGUGGGCUUCAAAUCGAGUAGCGUCCUGUGAGGCACUGGGAUUCUGUAGCUGGAUAUUGAAGCUGAGGCUCAGGAUAGGGAGUAACCAAAGCGUGGUCAUACCUGUCCAAUCCUGUCUGCCCUCUGCCUUGCAGCAUCAGACCCCUACAUGAUGCUGGGCAGAGGACAACUGCAGUUCUUGCCUGAACCCUUGGUGCUGGGUGACUUGAGUAAGUGGCCUGACCUCUCUGAGUUUGUGUUUCUUCUCUUAUAUCAUAGUUUCCAUGAACAGAAAAGGAGUGCCACAAGAACGUGUCUAAAAAGUGCCAGGUACAAGUUUUCUGUACAAAUGCCUUCCGCCAUCUCUUUCAAAGUGAUCUGGUUUUGUGACGUUGACUGACUAAUUUGUCUUCAGUUUGGAUUUUCCAGGGCCUAGCACAGAGCCCGGCACCAUGAGUGUGCAGAUACUCAGUAAAUAUUUAUUCAAUGCUUUUAUCUAUAGAUGCCAGACAUUCGGAUACCCAAGAACUUUAAGAUGAUGGAGUUUUGACUUCCCGUCUGAGCGUUGUAUGUCACACUCUGAUAUAAGCUGUGGAAAUGGUUUGAAGCAAUAGGAACCCAGACAUCUCAUGCUUGCGGACGCAGGCUGACUGUGGCAGACAUGACAUGAAAGUUGAACAACAAGCAUGCCUGUCAUUUGAAAGACCUGUGAUGGAUAAACAUUGAGUGGGGCCAAUGGAAGAAGACAGAGAGAGAUGAAGAAUAGAGGCCCCUGGUGGAUAACAAGAACGUGUGAACUAGACCGCCCUCCUUCCGGUAUCUGGGUAAACACGCGGAAGCUGUCAGAGAUGAUGCUUCCGGCGGUGUUUGCGUCUUGACCUGUUAGAGAAGAGGUGUCUUUUCACCCCAGAGUAUCAAACAGAAAGCUCCCUUUGGCCUCAAGAGUACAAGACAAAAACCAGGAGGCUGACUUUCUAGAGCCACACCGCGCUUUCUAGAAUCACACUGUGUGAACAUCACUCAGACGCUGAGGGGGCGUGCUUGAAUGAAAACCAUUAUAACUUUGAUGGAGGUAAACUCAGGCAAGACUUAGCUCAAGGGUAGGUAGGGUUUGGUCUCUAACUCGUUAUACAAACAGGGUGCCGCAUUUGAUGCAUAGGAACCAACGUUACUGGCAUUUCUAAGGGGCUCCACCCAUAUCUGAAUGUCCUCUCCUGAGUGGCACUUGAGCAGAACUAGACUGCCAGUCCUUUCCCUGCCUGGGACCUGGUUUCUCUUACAACCUUGCUCUGUACAACAGUUUACUAGCACCCUGGGAAUGGCCCAGAUCACAUCAGUGUUCACAGUCAGAAGCACCUGGCUGUUUGGAUCCAUGUGCCUUUGGGACUCUGUUACUAAAAUCUUGUUUCUGGGACCACCGGUCUAGGUUUGGUUUGGUUUGGUCGGCUUCUGUCUUACCUAGACCUACCUUGAGGCCUCAGAGAACAUUCUACAGGUCGGCAGCAUCAAAACACCUAAAACAAACGACCAAAGUUCAACUUGCCUUGGAGAAAAGAGAGCUAUGUUCUUUUGGUCCCAAGCCAUGUGCCAGGGCUGGAACCAAACAGAGCUGGCCUCAACCCAUUGUUCAACAUCACACGAUCUGAGGACAAACAAACGAGAAAGUAGAUGGUGACCAGAAGAGAGAGCAGGUCACGCAUUUGUGCAAACUGUUGAUCUUGUCUUUGAGAGGCACGACUGUCUGUCUGACCAGUUUGUCCUGAUAAUAGUUACAAACUGUUCACUUUAUUGUGCAAGUCUGAAACCCCGAGUUCUUUACCGAGUUCUCUCCUUCUACCAAUAACUCGGUUUGGAAAAAUUAUCUGUGAUAAAUUUUGUGUCGGAUGCCCAAAGAAAAAUGUAUAUCUUUUUUUUUUACCAUGUAGAAUUAGGUUGUUCUUAAAUAUGUAAUCGCAUAGGAAAAGAGCUAUGGCGCUAUUCCUAAGGGCUGGCCAGCCUACGGGUGUCCCUGGCCAUAUGGUCCUCAGGCACGUUUUACAGAAGAGAAAAUUGAGGUUCAGGUCAGACGAGUAACCUGAGUUCAUGAGUUAGACAGUAAACUCGACUUAUAAAUGAGAGUCAGCGCAGGCAUACAUUUUUUUUUGCAGCCCACUUCAAUAAACUUCCAACCUCUCCUCUUGCCCAACACUUACCAGAGGUAGUAGAAGAGAAAAGAUAUUAGGACAUAGGGUAAGAGGACCUGUUUAGGAACAGUUCUUUGGGGGUCGAGCUUGAUCUUCUUGGGCAGCUGUGUAGUCCCAGAGCAAGCACUCAAUACGACUCAGUAGCUUCAAUCCAGUCCUCUCAGCAGGCAGACCCCAUGCAUGAACCAGCAGACGUAGUUCAAUCCUGAAGGAACCGCAAGGCUCACCAACUGGCCUGAGGAAUGACAGACUGCUACAGGAACCUCAUGAGUGAUUCUUUGGCAGGUUUCUCUCAAUGGCAGCAUCACCACAAGUUGAGCUCAACAGUGCUAUGAAAGGCUAAACAAUACAUGUGUGUCUUUAGUGAAGAAUAGAAAGACAGAGCAAACCAAACCAAUGCUCUGACAGCUCCCACUAUUUGAGGGGCCACAUUUAUAUUCCUUCAUUACGGGCCCAAGGAGAUAUGUUUUCAUGGUGAGUCCAAAACCCAGCCAGGCUGACCAAAGAUUAACCUUGGUGACAAGCCCAAGUGUUCAUUCUCUAGCUUCUCACCAGCUUCCAACUCCUGAAUGGACCCAGAAGGCUGCCAAGGCUGAGGAACGCUGAUGGUACCAACACAUGGCAGCACUGUAGUUCACUGGUGUGAACUACAGCACCCACUAUUAUUUUGGGAGCAGGAAAAGCCAAAGGCAAGAUCUCACCAUGUUAUUUCGGGGCAAGUCCACCAGAGAACUCACACAGACACACUCAAGGCCAAAUAGAAAGUCUACAUUGCCAGUUGGCAACUGCACAGUUGGGUUUAAUUUGCCCAAACCGUCCAGCCCCAAGCCUCGCUAGUCUUUUAUGCACAAAAAACACAUUUUAGUAGACACAUUUCGGUUAGCAAGAGUAGUUAGCAAGAAGAAAACCACAGAAGCCUAAAAGCAAGGUUAGGACAUGGAGGGACUUUUCUGGAUCCUAGAACUUUGGACUUGGUCUUUGUUCUUGGCUUGGUAGGUGCUGGGCUGCACAUUGGCUUUUAAGGUUGGAAUGGUGUCUCUCAGAGGCCACCAGAUGUGUUAAGGUCUGGGGGCUUGUUACAGUGUAGCCCAGGAUGGCCUUGAAUUCACCCCCGAGCUCUGGAAUUACAGGGAGAUGUGCACUGCUCUUGGCAUUCAUUCUUUAUACUAGUAACAACCAGACACACAUAAGACACCGGGAUAAAAAGGUUUGCUGCACUUUAAAAGAGAAAGGGUUUCUUGAAAAUAAAAAAAUGUGACAUGUAAUCAGAUUGAAGUUUUAGAAGAUUACAGUGUCACUCUUAUUUAAAUUUGUGUAUUCGUUAACAACCAUUGCCCUCGGAGUACCCCCUCCCAUCGGUUAUAUCACUAGGCAGCCAGAUAAAUUACGACGCCAGGAAUAUCCUGCUCUAUUGCAGAUUAAAAAUAUUAACUGUGACCAUGCUUAGUUUUUAAAAUCAAAAUGUCACUGUUCAAAUAAAAAAAAAGUACACUUGUUACCAUUUACAUUUUUCUUUUAAGUGGAUACGUUUAAGUCUUAAAAAGUAAAUCUAAUGCAUGUGAAAAAUAACUCUUCUUUUCAUUUUUUUUACAAAAUGUAUUCAAUGUAUGCAAAUUUUAAUAGGAUCACAUUUUGCAUUAAUCAUUUUUAUUGUUGAGAGCGGCUAUGAGUCAGAAGAGCUGUAAAAGAUGAAAUGGGGGCAUAAAACUCGGAAGCUUAAGAGAAACAGAAACUCGGGGGGCGGGGGCGCGCGGAGCGAGAUCUACACAGAUCUCUGGACCCUGGAGAAACGAGGGAAGUGCGUGAGUUGGACGGCUCUCAGCGCCUCCCACGUGACAUUGCCACUCAGGGCUUUGCAAAUGACUUACUUCAGACAGGUCUAGUUAAUGAUGAAAACAAUGAGAAAUUAAAAGGCGGUUCUUAUCAAGUUGAGACCCUAGAAGCAAGAGGUGCAGCUGGUGCCUGUCUGGGUGACAAGGAGAAAAUUCCAUCUGUAAAACGAGCCCAGUGGGAAGAGAGGGAGAGCCCUGGCCUUCGAGCUCUGCUGGCUCCCUGGAGCCUGAUUCUGGCUCUGACUGACUCUUUCCUCCCGGCACAUUCUCAUCUAAGUGAUUUAUUCCUCUUGGCUAAACAUGGCACAGCACUGAACAUUUUGUUUCACACCAGAAUUCUUUCAGUCGGAAAAAGACGUUGUGGAAAUUGGCUCUUAAGUUCAAAGGCAAAAUGCUUUGUGAAUUCUGUAACAGUUAUUGCCAGUCUUAAGGCAGCUCUAACCAGGGAGGAAUUUCAGAAAGAAUUUCACAGAAAAGCACACAAGCGACUCUCACGGAGGAACAGAGGUAAAUAAUCAACAAGCUGUAAGGGACACUGACAGAAUAGCUCUAAAAUUAGAGCCAAUCAGGACAGAGCUUCUUGGGGUCUUUGUAGAGAACAGGAAAAACCGGGUAUGGUCCAUGCCAUUUUUAAUCCCUGCACUCAGGAGGUACAGGCAAGUGCAUUUCUAUAAGUUCGAGGCCAGCCUUCUCUACAUAGUGAACUCCAUGCUAAUCUAGGGAAAAAACAAACAAAUAAACAAACAAACAAACAAACACAAAAUGUUUCUGAGUUUGCUCCCAAGUGGCUCAAACACGAACUGAAGGUUUUAAAAUCCUCUCCUUCAAUUCAGAAAGUGCGGAAGUCCCAUGAACCCCCGAUAAUGUAUAAAACUUGGGUACAUCCUCGUACAUUAGAAUUUUUUUGUUGUGUGUGUGUUGUAAGUGACAUACAAUGGAUCCAGAGCAGGUUAUCUCAAAUGGAGUUUAGAUAAAGUGUAGGUGGAAACCUGUGCAUCUUGGGGAAGGGUACAAGGAAAGUCUGGAGUAGUUGAAAACAAGAUUGCUGACUGCACUGAGCAGCUUGCAGCCUUCCUUGGGUGGCCACUGUGUAGUUUCACAUCAUUGACCUCGGGUUCCUUGACUCAGAGGGUUGUAGAGAAAACCUGACACUGACUUCUUUCUCUUUCCAGGUCGAAAGUUCCUAGAAAGUACAUAGCUCCUCUCCUGAUGAGAACCAUUCACUGUGGCCAGAACGUGUCUGGGACAGUAGAGGUAACCAUGUGCACAGUGUAGAAUUAUAGUAAGGAGAAAAAUAACAUAAAGGUAGUUAAGCUGAGUGGUAUGCAUCAGUGACUGCCAACAUUAGGGUAUCUGAGGGAGGGGGAUAAUAAAUCCAGACUGCCUAGGGCUAUGUCAUGAGUUCACGAGCAGCCUGUGAAAAAAAUCUAUGAGACCCCCUAUCUCAGAAUAAACUCUGAAACAGUAAGAAGGCUGGGGACAUCACGUGUCAUUCACGCACGUCUCUGAGUUCAAGGCCAGCCUGCUCUACAUAGUUGGCACGAUGUGCUUGUGGUCCUAGGUUCAAUCUCAACACUGUGGAAAAAGACGAGAGGGCUCAGUGUUGUUUCCUGGAGACAAAAUUCACACUUAGGGAGUAUUUUGUGCCAGUGUUGUAUCAAAUGUUUGUUUGUUUUUUUUUUACUGUAGAAGAAAUAAUAUAUACUUUGACCUGGGAACUGGAAAAGAUGUUCUAUUGCAACAGGUAUUUGUAAAAGCCAAGCUUUCUAAAUAUGAAAGUGUUCGUUUCCCUCAGUUCUAUAUGGUAAAAAAAACAUGCAAAGUGUCAUUAUGAAUAAACUUCAGAAGCCACUUAAUAAAUUAUCAAUAUUAAACAAAUUGUAACUGUCUUGGUUGUAUUGUCCAGAAAAAAAAAGGUUUAGAAGUUCUCAGAAGGCUCUGAAAAGACGGAUAAGGCUGUUAAAUAAAUUGAAUUAAAAAAAACCCAUCUUUUUCAUAGGCAAUUGAAGGGCAAGCCUAUAUAAUAGUUUAGAAGUCUGUGUCUACACAGUUCAGGUAGAAUGCAUCAGAGGUCAUGGCGAAGCCUUACACGUGUGAGAUUACAUGAUCAGAAGCAAACAAGGAACCUGAAAUACACAGAAAUUUCACUGAUUUUAUUUUAAUACCCGCUGUGAAACAUAUAGUUCUUGUCAACUGAGAAAGUAUGCCUUUAAUGUUUAGCCAUCGGGUUCCAAAGGAUGGUGAAGGCUGGCUUUUAUUGAUGUCUUGUGGUUGCUAAAGAAAAAGAUACAUGCUCCAGGCCUUGGCUGAAAAUGUGGAAGCAUUCUUUGAGCAAUGGUUUCCAUUUUAACAAGGAGAACUUCACCUCUCUCCAUAGGUUGGUGGUGUUGCUUGGGACAGUUCAGCAAUGGUGCACACUGCUCUCAGGUCCCUCUGAAGAUGAAGCACUUCCUUUGUUCCUUCCUUGCCUGCCCACAUCUUUCUUUCUCAUGUGUAUGUCUACUGCAGCAUGUGCAUGGAGGUCAGAGGUCAACUUUCAGUCGUCAGUUCUCUCCCUCCACCAUGGGAGUCCAAGGAUCGAACUCACAUCCUCAGGCUUGCUGGCAAGUACCUUACACAGUGAGCCAUCUCACUGGCUCUAAAGUUGGAACACUUCGG